rnacentral:rRNA from 1 species
UACGUAGGGUGCGAGCGUUAAUCGGAAUUAUUGGGCGUAAAGGAGCUCGUAGGCGGUGUGUCACGUCGGCCGUGAAAACCUGCAGCUUAACUGUGGGCGUGCGGUCGAUACGGGCAUCACUGGAGUUCGGCAGGGGAGACUGGAAUUCCUGGUGUAGCGGUGAAAUGCGCAGAUAUCAGGAGGAACACCGGUGGCGAAGGCGGGUCUCUGGGC